rnacentral:lncRNA from 1 species
GAAGAAGAAAAAGCAGAAGACCGCUGCAGUCUCUAAUUCAGGCGUAGAUCUGAAAUCCAUUAUCCAUAACCAUGCGUUGUUCUUUGAUAAGUUAGUGGAGCUUAUCCCGGUAAGGUUCUAUUUAUCUAGUGAUGAAAAAGGAAAACCUUGGUUUCAGGGCCUUAGCAAGAAAGAAAAGGCAAUGGCUAAGAAGGAAUCAAAGGAAAACCUUAAGAAAGCACGAAGAGAUCGUAUGGAUCCAGAAAAGUCUUCUAAAUCAACUGUUCAUUUGCUUAAAGAAAGCUUGGAAAAUGAAAAGUUGAAAAGUAAAAAUGACGAUGAUGGAGAUGAUGUUAAGCCAGUGGCAACUGGGUG